rfam:Schistosoma curassoni strain Dakar, Senegal genome assembly, scaffold: SCTD_scaffold0000001
AUCUAGCUGACGUGUUCCAAAUAAGACGAAACUCACGUCCUGUAU